rnacentral:rRNA from 1 species
UACGUAGGGUGCAAGCGUUAAUCGGAAUUACUGGGCGUAAAGCGUGCGCAGGCGGUUAUGUAAGACAGGUGUGAAAUCCCAGGGCUUAACCUUGGAACUGCAUUUGUGACUGCAUAGCUAGAGUACGGUAGAGGGGGAUGGAAUUCCGCGUGUAGCAGUGAAAUGCGUAGAUAUCGAGAGGAACACCAGUGGCGAAGGCGAGUCCCUGGAAAACACCUGACACUGAGGCACGAAAGCUAGGGGAGCAAACAGG